UUCUCUCCAUAAAGAUUGAAGUUUGAUAGAGAUUACCUUAGAGGAGCCUUGAAAUUCCUUCUCUAGAAUACUCCAAGCUUCUUUUGAAUUGGUGGUAGCCAUAAUACGAGAAAGACAGUUUUAUUUACCCCUUGUUGAAUGAAGAGUAGUGCCCUUGCACCCUUCUUCUUAUUUUCUUUAAACUCCUUUUGCUUUGCCGCCGUCCAUGAUGCUAGUGUUUCCG
rnacentral:lncRNA from 1 species